AAGGUGGAUAUGUUAAUAGCAUACUCAUUGACGUUAGCUGCAGAAGAAGCACCGGCUAACUCCGUGCCAGCAGCCGCGGUAAUACGGAGGGUGCGAGCGUUAAUCGGAAUUACUGGGCGUAAAGCGCAUGCAGGUGGUUUGUUAAGUCAGAUGUGAAAGCCCCGGGGCUCAACCUCGGAAUUGCAUUUGAAACUGGCAAACUAGAGUACUGUAGAGGGGGUAGAAUUUCAGGUGUAGCGGUGAAAUGCGUAGAGAUCUGAAGGAAUACCGGUGGCGAAGGCGGCCCCCCUGGACAGAUACUGACACUCAGAUGCGAAAGCGUGGGGAGCAAACAGGAUUAGAUACCCUGGUAG
rnacentral:rRNA from 1 species